GUUGGCUGCUGUGAGGACAAGGUAGAGCCAGUGCCUGGAGGAGCUGCCUACAAUGAACAUCAAGGAGAGGUGAAGGAGGGAAUUUGGCACUGCAACUGCCUGUGCUACACCGGAUGUUCACAGGAAACACCGCCUCAACACAUCACACAACCAGUGCUAUGUGGAGUAAGUGCCUGACUAGCGAAACCCAAUUGCCCAGGAAUCCUGGAAGAGAUUAUGGACUGGCCAGAGGCAGGGAUUUGGAGCCUUGCCUGAGAAGGUGACUCAUGCCCAAAAUGCACCACCAUGUAAUGAGUUAUCAGAAGAUGCAAAAGGCUCUGCUGUAUUUAGUGAUGGAACCUGCUGUGGUAGGAAACCAUCGGAAAGCUGCAGUGUGGAGUCCCACAGGACAAGUCAUUGAGACUGCUGAAGCAAAGCUGAAAAGGGAAGCAAUGGAGCAGCUUGGUGGGCACUGGCAUUCAGACAAAGUCAACCCAACACUGUGCAUUUUUGCACCCAUUGUGGGCUUACUGUCUGUGACUGCAGGCUAUGUUUUUUAUUUUGGUUCUAUAUCUCUAAGGUGCUGUAUUUGUGAAGACUGUAACAUCCUGCAUAGCUUCAUAUAAACCAGGGAGCAGUAGCAUACUUUGGAUAAGUGUGCACCGUCUGUGCAUGAGGUAAAUAUGAAAUAAAUUUGGGGUUAUUAUGUAUUCAGAAUUUUAGAGAAAUAAAUAUUUGCAAAGGGAAACAAAGGUAGGGAUAUACCGGUUUGUUGUGUUGUUUUUGUUUUGUUUUUUUUUAAGAGAAGUAAUUUGAAAAGGAAUGAAGUUCGCUUUGAGGUAGUGAAAAUUUCCUAAAUGAAUAGAAUCAAAGUUAUUAGAAGAAAAGAGCCAUUCAUGCUCAUAAAAAGGAGAUGUGAUAAAUUCACACUGUUCAUCACAUACCCAUGAUUUUGUUUCAAGUCUUCCUCCACUCCUCAAAAAGUUCAGAUAUACUUCAGUUUCAAAGGGAAAUAACUGCAGGACUUUAUUCAUUAAAAAAGCAUUGACCACUACAGUGAAGUUAAUUCCUCUCAUCACUUGCAUUAGACAUUUUUUGAAGCACAUAUUCAAGUAUAUGCUUUCAUUUUCUUCAAACUAAUUCCUAUUCUGAAAAGAAAAUACUGACUGUCAAUGCUAUUGCCUCAAAGGAAGAAUCAGAUUCUCAUUAUUUUUUACACAGAAAAGAAAAAAACGCCCCACAAC